UCAAAGAUUAAGCCAUGCAUGUCUAAGUAUAAGCAAUUAUACAGCGAAACUGCGAAUGGCUCAUUAUAUAAGUUAUCGUUUAUUUGAUAGUACCUUACUACUUGGAUAACCGUGGUAAUUCUAGAGCUAAUACAUGCUAAAAAUCCCGACUUCGGAAGGGAUGUAUUUAUUAGAUUAAAAACCAAUGCCCUCUGGGCUCUUUGGUGAUUCAUGAUAACUUCUCGAAUCGCACGGCCUUGCGCCGGCGAUGGUUCAUUCAAAUUUCUUCCCUAUCAACUUUCGAUGUUUGGGUAUUGGCCAAACAUGGUUGCAACGGGUAACGGAGGGUUAGGGCUCGACCCCGGAGAAGGAGCCUGAGAAACGGCUACUACAUCCAAGGAAGGCAGCAGGCGCGCAAAUNNNCNNNUCCCGACANGGGGAGGNNNUGACAAUAAAUACUGAUACAGGGCUCUUUUGGNUNUUGUAAUUGGAAUGAGUNBAAUUUAAAUCCCUUAACGAGGAAC
rnacentral:rRNA from 1 species